AUUGAACGCUGGCGGCAUGCCUUACACAUGCAAGUCUAACGGUAACAGGCCGCAAGGUGCUAACGAGUGGCGAACGGGUGAGUAAUGCAUCGGAACGUGCCCAGUCGUGGGGGAUAACGCAGCGAAAGUUGCGCUAAUACCGCAUACGAUCUAUGGAUGAAAGCGGGGGACCGUAAGGCCUCGCGCGAUUGGAGCGGCCGAUGUCAGGUUAGGUAGUUGGUGGGGUAAAGGCUCACCAAGCCGACGAUCUGUAGCUGGUCUGAGAGGACGACACGCCACACUGGGACUGAGACACGGCCCAGACUCCUACUGGAGGCAGCAGGGGGGAAUUUUGGACAAUGGGCGCAAGCCUGAUCCAGCAAUGCCGCGUGCAGGAAGAAGGCCUUCGGGUUGUAAACUGCUUUUGUACGGAACGAAACGGUCCUGGUUAAUACCCGGGGCUAAUGACGGUACCGUAAGAAUAAGCACCGGCUAACUACGUGCCAGCAGCCGCGGUAA
rnacentral:rRNA from 1 species